GACGAAGGAUGCAAGCGUUAUCCGGAUUCAUUGGGUUUAAAGGGUGCGUAGGCGGACCUGUAAGUCAGUGGUGAAAUCUCUCAGCUUAACUCAGAAACUGCCGUUGAUACUAUCUGUCUUGAAUAUCCUGGAGGUAAGCGGAAUAUGUCAUGUAGCGGUGAAAUGCUUAGAUAUGACAUAGAACACCGAUAGCGAAGGCAGCUUACUACAGGUUCAUUGACGCUGAGGCACGAAAGCGUGGGGAGCAAACAGG
rnacentral:rRNA from 1 species